AGAGAGGCUGUGAGGGUGGCUUUGUGAGGAUGGCUUUGUGUGGCUGCACAUUGCCCUUGGCCAAGCCCCGCUGCCAGGAGAGGCAGCUCGGCUGCCAAACCUCCUGAACCCAAGUUACCUGAGCAAGCAGCCCUAUCCCCUCGCCUGCUUCUCACUGCCUCGCCUGCCUUGGGCCUGCCCGACCCAGGGGGUCACAUGCCUUGUUCCCCAUCAGUGGAGACCAGGGACAAGAAGACAGUUCUGUGGGAAGAGCCAGGAGGACCAUUUGGGAAAAUACAGGUUCCAGGUGUGUCUCCAGACCUUGAGAGUUGGUGUCUCCUGGGAAGAGGCCCUGAUGAGAUCUGGGGAGAUUCGGAUCUGAUGAGAUUCAGGAAGCCCUGGCCUCUCCGUACUUGAGGAGACGGGACACACAGGACAAGCUGCAGGCUGGUGAGCAGGUUCACCUUCUAUUUUGAAGACCCGCUUCUUCCUCAGGUACCUGAUCUUGAAAACGACCUCCCCUUUCAGUUUCUCGGCUUGUGGCUCCUUCCUCCAUCUUCAAAGAGCACCACUCCAAUCUGCUCCUCCAUCAGGUCACCUUCUGCCUGACUCCUACAUCCCUUUCAGAAGGACCCUUGUGAUUCCAUGAGGUCCACCCAGAUCACGCAGGAUAAUGUCCCCGUCUCAAGAGGCUUAAUCUAAUCACAGUGAAAACCAUUUCCUCCUCGUCGUGGCGCAGGUCCAGAGGCUGCGCCCAUCUCUCCCACGUCAACAGUCCUGUGUCCUUGGCGAAGGACUGUUCUCUCAUUCAGUGCCUUUCCUCUCUUCCUGGGCCAAAUCCCUGCUUUGCGUCUCCCUGCAGCUCAUAAAAAGCUGAAUUACCUGAGGCAGGGAAAGCCCCACCCACUGUCAUUCUCAGGGAGGAGUGGAGUCUGCAGAGGCCGCAAUGCACAGCUUCCCUAUCCCCCUCCACCCGUGUUUUCCCAGAGCAGCUCUGUUCCAGGCCCGGGGGUGUCCCUGGGCCGAGAUGGAAUCCAGCCCUGACCACCUCCCAAAGCCAACAGCCCUGAGUGAGCGUGCAGAGAAGCAAGAGCUGUUCCUGAUGCAGAGCAAAGACAUCUCCCAGUCAAGGGGGAUGAACUGAUUUGGGACAAAAGGCAGUUGUUGGCUGAGGAAGGCAGGAUCUGGGGGAGCCCUGUGCUGAGUGGAGGUGGGUGGGUGUAUUUCCUUGGCUCACAGAGGCCUCUUGUCUGGUGGGAUCAGCUCCUCCAGCCAGUUGCCACCUGGUCCAGCUUUGGGAGAUGUGGAGAAUGACUUUCGCAGUGAUUUCCACUGGGCCAUGGCAUUGAAACAGCUGCAGGAGGGGACACAGCUGGUGCCACCCCUACUCCGUCCAUUAGAGCUGCUGUGAAGGAAUGCCACCCUCCCCAUGGGGAGUGAGGGGGCCCUACUUGCUGUGGUUGGUUCCAGGGACCAUGGGAAGAGGCAAACCCCUAUUUUCAAGGGCACAAGUUGGCUUUUAUUAAAAUAAAAUUUCAUCAUCACUUA
rnacentral:lncRNA from 1 species